UCAGGUCUCAUUUACUUCCUCUUUUUUUUUUCCUUUUCCUUUUCCUAUACCUUCCUUUGGUCCUUAUAAGUAUCCAAAUUGCCCUAAAAUAACUUCUGCACAUGCAGCAUUAGGAAGCAGUGUUUCCCAACCACUACAUUUGAAUGAUUCAUUCCUCUGAGGACCCUCAAGUACUUCAGAAGAACUAAAAAAUGAAUAUCACGUUACACCAAAGAAGAAAUGAAAGCUGCCAGUGUCUUCUGAAGUUAAACAGGCUCCUGUUCUUUGACCCAGCAAUCCAAUCCUAGGUACUUACCCAAGAGAAACAAAAACAUGUAUUUACAAAAAGACUUGUAUAAAAUGUUCAAAGCAGCCUUAUUCAUAAUAGCCAAAAUCUGAAACAACCCAAACGUCCAUCAAUAGGAUAAUGAAUAAGCAAACUGAAAUAUAACCAUAUAAUGAAAUAGCACUCCAUCAAUAAAAAGGAAUGAACUUCUGAUACACAGAACAAUGUGAAUAAAUUUUAGGGACAUUAUGUUGAAUAAAAGAAAAGAUACAA
rnacentral:lncRNA from 10 species